CCCGCUCCGCCCGCACCGGCGGCUCCGGGACCUCCCGGGUCCCCGGGCUCGGCCGGCAACGCCGCCGCUGCGGCGGGAGGAGCCCCCGCGGACCCCCGGGCCACUCCCCGGCCGGCGAUGGGCGCAGCGGGGAUACAGGGAGGGGACAGCGGGACACGGUGAUGCGACAGCGGGGACACGGUGGGGACACGGCAGGGACACAGGACAAGACCCGCCGGUGAGCGGGCGGGACCCGCUGUCCCCCGUUCGAGGGGUCCGGUGUCAGGGAGAGCGGAACGGGACCGGUUAGCGGGGCGGGGCGGGCAGGGCACGGCCGGGGGUCCCGGGCAGGGGCGGGCAGGAGGAGGGCGGGGGUCCGGGGCAGGAAGCGGGCGGGGGUCGGGGAGGGGCCGGGACCGGGCCCAGGAGCGGGCAGGGAGCGGCAGGAGCGGGCAGGGACCGGCAGGGCCGCGGCCAUGCGGGGAUCGCCCCUCGCCCCGCUGCUGCUGCUGCUGCUGCUGCUCCUGCUGGGACCCCCGGCGCCCCCCGCCCGCGCCGCGCCCCCACAGCCCGGCCGGCCCCGCGGCACCGGGGCGGGCACGGCCAGCGGGACCCCCAGAGCCGCCGGGGCGACCCCAACCAAGGGCACCGCCAGCGGGACCCCCAAAGCCACCGGGGCGACCCCAACCAAGGGCACGGCCAGCGGGACCCCCAGAGCCACCGGGGCGACCCCAACCAAGGGCACCGCCAGCGGGACCCCCAGAGCCACCGGGGUCACCCCAACCAAGGGCACCGCCAGCGGGGUGUCCCCCAGAAAGAGCCCCACGACCGGACCCCCCAAAGCCAGCGGGGUCACCCCAACGAAGGGCACCGCCAGGGGACCCUCUAAAAGCAGCGAGACGCCCCCCUGGAAGGGCACCACGGCGGGACCCCCCAAAGCCAGCGGGGUGUCCCCAACGAAGGGCACCGCGGCCGCCCCCUCGGGGAGCAGCACCACGACGGGACCCCCGAAGGGCAGCGCGGCCCCCGCCAGCCCCGGGGACCCCGCGGGCACCGCCCCGGCGCCCACGGUGAGCACGGUGGCGGUGAGGAGGAGGAAGGUGGUGAGGAAGAAGGUGGUGAAGAAGAAGGUGCUGAGGAAGAAGCCGGAGGCUCCGGCCGCGCCGCAGGAGCCCCCGUGUCCCCCCCUGGGGCUGGAGUCCCUGCGGGUGCUGGACGAGCAGCUCCGGGCAUCGAGCCACAAGCGGCACGGGCUGGGCGCGCACCGCGGCCGCCUCAACAUCCAGGUACUGCCCGCUGGGCCACGAACGUGCCAGGGGGUGCCAGGAGUGUGCCAGGAGUGUGCCAGGGUGUGCCAGGAGUGUGCCAGGGUGGGUUAGGUUGUGCCAGGGUGGGUCAGGGUGUGCCAGGAGUGGGUCAGGAGUGGGUGAGAAGUGUGCCAGGUGUACCAAGAGUGGGUCAGGAGUGUGUCAGGAUGGGUCAGGAUGUGCCAGGAUGGGUUAUGGGUGUGCCAGGGUGUGCCAGGAGUGGGCCAGAGUGUGCUGGGAGUGUGCCAGGAAUGUGCCAGGCUGUGCCAGGCUGUGGGGAUGUUCGGAUGUCACACGGGGCAUGCAGGC
rnacentral:lncRNA from 1 species